GUGUUAAUUCGACGCAACGCGAGAACUACCAGGCCUUGACAUACUCGGCAAAGCUCUAGAGAUAGAGUGGAGGUUAUCCGGGAUACAGGUGGUGCAUGGUGUCGUCAGCUCGUGUCGUGAGAUGUUGGGUUAAGUCCCGCAACGAGCGCAACCCUUGUCUUUAGUUACCAUCAUUCAGUUGGGGACUCUAGAGAGACUGCCGGUGAUAAACCGGAGGAAGUGGGGAUGACGUCAAAUCAUCAUGCCCCUUAUGGCCUGGGCUACAAACGUAAUACAAUGGCGUAUACAAAGGGAUGCGAAAGGGCGACCUGGAGCAAAACUCACAAAGUACGUCUCAGUUCAGAUUGGAGUCUGCAACUCGACUCCAUGAAGCCGGAAUCGCUAGUAAUCGCGGAUCAGCAUGCCGCGGUGAAUACGUUCCCGGGCCUU
rnacentral:rRNA from 1 species